UAAUGUUGGUUUUAUUGAAUUCUGACUUUUGAUCAUUUUUUAUCGGCAGUACUCCCGUGGACCAACCCAUUAUUCGGCGUCAUUACAUAUUGACAAUUGCCUGCUGUGGAAAAUUGAAAUUAACUGAAUUAUGCUCAACAGACAUGAGCCAGUGAAUUGGAUUUAGUGGCGCAUGCCAUGGCUUCCAGAGCCAAGGAUGGUGCCGAGGGUGUAUGCGAACGCAACCACUGUUUUUGGAUAAGUGGCAUGGCUGGCUGGGCGUAUCGCUUGGCUUUGUUCACUCGAUGACUCUUGAUUGAUUCAGCUGGAAAGCGAAAGUGUGCGCGCGAUUCGCCCACUGUUAUGAAUUCCAUAUUUCGACGGGUGAUUUAUGAUAAAAUUCGAAUAUAAAUGCGAAAGUCCCUAAAUUAAGGCGAAAAAGGGGCGGUGCAGCAAAAAGGCGCUUCUCAUGCACAAAGCAAAAAGUGCACUGCUGGGAGGCUUCCUCAAUUUAACACAACAUUAUAUAAUUAUACUCUAUGGAGAAAAGGGAAAAUUUUAAGUUGGUUAAAAAUAACUUCAGGUGUAAAGGGUUAUGCAUGAGUUAUAAUCAUUGACUAAGGCAAACCCAAAUAAUCUAUAUGAAGCGUUUAGUUACCCUCGGCAGAUAGCCCAAAAUGAAGCAAAAUCCAUCAGCCGUUCGUUUAAGUUAUUUCGAUUCAUCAAAUUCAAGACUAAGGAAUUCUCAAGUAAUUUUAGAUAAGUAAUACACAGAUCGUAACCAGUGGCCCUGUCAAAAAAAGGUGAAAUCUGCACUUCCACAUUUUGUUUUCCUAUCCCCAUUAUCUUAUGAGCCUAUGGACGAUUUUGAAAACCCAAUUUUUAACGGAAAAGGACUCUAAUAUUUACAGCAAAACUAUUGGUUUUAACACUUUUGUUAAGCAUUAUAAACGGAAGGGAUCUCCACUUUUUGCAGCAGUCGCUAUGUCUUCAGUUAUUGUUGAAUAGUUCUUGCACUCGUUAAGGAGAUGAGCAGUCAUAUGGAAACGCCUGCAACCAGCAACAACAUUGUGAUCAUCGUUAGUUGGAUGCUCAAGCAUUCAGCGUGCAAUCCGCUUUCGUUUAGUGUCCUUAAUGCAAUUUCGCUCAAUUUAAUCAAAGACCUUGAAAACUUUCCAUAUCAGACUAAGUGCCGGGGACAAGGUUUGCCGCCCACAAACUAUGCACAUAUCUUGCCGCAAAGCCAACAGACGAACUCCACCUGCAAUCCACUGGCAAGAAAGCACUUCGCUCAGUGCUUCUUUAAUAACGCACACGGUGUUGUUGUUGUUCAAAUGUUACAAACACUGGUAUUGCGGUGUCGUGUGAACUAAGACGAGCAAUGUGUGAUUUUAAGCACCGAAAUUUCGAUGUCAAAAACACGUAGCAUCAUUAGAAACAGCCAUUUCGAGCCCCAAACUCCGCCGCGGCCACGUCGACACUACUGCUCCGUGUCGCCGCUCCAAACGUGCAAUGACACUUUCACUGAGCGCUCGCCUGAUAUCGAACCGAAAGUCAACCGACUGUUACGAGAGACGAGGUGGAAGGGAACCGCGUGGCAGCAAAGCAUAUCACGUUUAAACCUUAGUCGGGUCGAAGGGAAUACAGUUGUGCGGGUGGCGGGCAAUUGCCUGCGCAGCGAGACAAACUAAAAUAUAGUUAGACUUUUUGAUGAGAAUUCAAAGUCGGCCAAUAUCGGCUAUGAAAGCUCCACAGAUCCGGUGAAGAGCGCGUGCGAGUGCUGGAGUGCGCGUCACUGCUCAUAUGAAUUGCCAACUAAUGGGGGAAAGUGCCAACUUACCAAGCCCCCCACCAACCCUGCAGCCAUCCAUGUAGUCCGAUAGUCAAUAUGCGCCAGCAAACUCAUGUAAACACCCGAAACGCAGUUAAGAGUGAACAAGUUGUAGUUGCAGAAGCGCACUAACAACUCAAAUUCGGUAUGAAUAGUACAACAAAUUGGAAUAAUAAGUGAAUUCAUGUUGAAUGGGAGCCAUAUAUAUGGCAUCGGGCUUGCACUCACACAUCCCUCCCCGCCGACACACCCGAAAGACCCGUCGUUCUAUGCUGAUGUUCGUGAGACAUACAACAUUGGUACAGGAGCAGAAGCUUCGCGCCGCUGUUGAAUGCCCCUUUGAUUUUCCUUUUGAUAUGCGGAGACUUUUUCCUUCGCGUCGCUCCAUCUUCUUGUUAUUUUUCGUCUACUUUCGCUUCGUGGAAUAUUUGUCAGUUUUCGCGUUGUAAUGAAUUCUGUCUGCGUAUCAAACCAGCUGACGUGCUGGGAUUUUUUCACAUAAUUUUUUAUAAGUUAAUUUUCAGCUAAGGACGCGUUUCGCACACACAUGCACCUCCACCAUCCGCAAGACCCAGCCACCAAGUUGGCGCUGAAGUGUCUUUGAGCUGCACGUCGCUGCGCGCAUCAAGUUUGGACGGCAAAGGACCCCCUGAUCGCCCUCCUUCGGCAUGUUCGAACAAACAUACAUGCGUAAAAUCGUCGCUUUAAUCUCGCACGAAACUUCAAAUUGGCACUCGUGAUCAGGACUCUCUCCGAAGUCCGGACUAGGAUUAUGCUGCGAUGGAGGCGUCUCGGAUUAAUUUUUCCGGAUGGCAGUAACGCGGCUCGAUGACUUGAUAUCCAUGCGUUUACGAGACGAAUAUUUUGUUCCCAUUUAAUCAUUGGCUUUGGGUAUACCGACAAUGCAAUUGGCAGCUCAGUGCAGCAAUCCGUCCAUCAAUAUGCGAUACGAGAGUAUUUUGCAGUGUUGAGGAAACUGCGGCGUGUUUUCCCAAGAAGUAAACCAAUAAACAUGCUCACUUAAUUCACAGACGCAACUUGGCCGAGUGUGAGAUGAUGACUAUUCUAUUUAUUAUCUCCAUGUUUGGAUACAAAACAGGGUGACAUAUCGGCUGCACAGACAUACGAGUAUACACACAUGUGGCAUUUACUGUGGCUACUCAAAUGGAAUUUGGUGGGCAGUGUACGUGAUAGAGCCAACACCCAAGUACUUGCCUUGGAAGGAAUCACUUAAAAUGGAUAAAGGAGCAAAUAAAAGCAAAGUCAAAUGGUCGGACAAUUAUCCUGCCGAAUGUGAAAGAAAGCCACAAAGAAGUAGCCACGCCGAAGUGCUGAUGAGCACUCGGCAACAACAAAUGCGAGUGCCGGGCCAGGCCGGGCUGGCUUAAGUUGCGGCCGAGCGGACGGGCCGGACAGGGUGGCUGGCGGUGAAGCGAUGUUGUGUUAUGUGCCGGUGACAUUUAAGCACUAAGUGCAGGCAGAUCACAAGCGAAAAGUUUAAACUUGACAAUUGCAUGCGAAAUUAGUUGACAGUGAUAUGUGUGGCGGGCCGGGUGUGCUGUUGUAAUCUCGAGGGAGAUUGGGAAUGAACGAGUCAAAGGAAAAGUUUUGCUGCCGCUGACAUAAGAAAAGGUCACAUCAAAGAAAAGUACAUCAACGAGAACUAUGGAAAGUGCUGGCUGUUGUAAGUUGUUUAUUGAGUUGGUCGCCGACUCGGGUCGACAUGUGUGCAGCGUUUAAUGGGUCUUUUGUGAUAACAAUAAAAGAGCACAUUGCGUUUCGUACAAUUAAAAUUACAAAGCGCUUAGAAGUUCAAUAAAAAGGAUUAGUUGAAAGUAAAUAGAUAUCCUUUCUGGAAGUAUAAUUAAUGAUCAAUUAUAAUACAAAAUACAUUUGUGGAAGAUGAACAAUUAUCAUACGAGCAAACUCUACCGGAGUUAAAAAUACUUCAAAUGAGAUAGAUGAAAUCUGUCCAUGCUUUGGACCAUCAGGAUGCUUUUACCUUCAGAGGUGUGCCAUUUUUAUGUUUCAUUUCAUUUUUGUGCAGAAUACAGAGCACCUGUGGGUUUGUGACAUGCAAUUCGCCCAGUAUAUAUACAGUUACAUGUUUCGGAUCAAACAUUCGAAAAGUUCAAUCGAUGUAACCAACUCUCCAUUGCCCCUUCAUCCACAUGUUGCUGCAACAAUUUGUUAUGCCGCACACAAUCCCAUUAUAUUACAGCGCUUCAUCCGUAACCCUAUAAGAAAAUCACUCAACUAAUAGGCGAACCUUUAGACGGUAUAUUCUCAGCUCUUUAUAUACAUAUAUAAUAUAGAUUGCGCCAUGGUUUUUACUGAAACGAGAACCGAUUCAAAGUGAAAUGAGAAACCGUUUAGCCAAGUUAGUCCAUUGAUGCUUGGAAUUGAACUCUGCGAAAGGAUUUCCUACAGGGCGGCACCUGUUUCGGUGAGCUGAUACAUAUUUACAUAUGCGGCGAUGUGUGUGUGCCGUACAAACACAUACAAGUGCCACUUGAAUGCAAUUAUUUUGUCAUCGUACGUUUCCUAAUUGAAUAUUCCAUGCCACAUGCGAACGUUACACAUCCGGCUUGCAACGAAUAUGUCACAUUUCGAAAGCUGACCACACUUGCGCCCUCCGCACGGCGCCGCAACCUUCAUUCGAUUCGAUUGUCUACAGACGCAUUGUUGGCAUAACUCUCAGGUUACUCCAAUGAUACCCACACAACUAAAAUGCCCGCUCACACUCUGACAGUCGCACUAACUAUGACGAAUGCGAACGAUGCGCGUUUCGUGGCGCGACGACACUGAAUGGCGCUGAAGAAGGAGAUUUGCGGCAGGCACUUGGCCAUUCAAGCGGUGGAACAUGCUCGACUCGGCCUUUAGCCUGCCCGUG